AGAGUGAACGCUGGCGGUAGGCCUAACACAUGCAAGUCGAACGGCAGCACAGUGGUAGCAAUACCAUGGGUGGCGAGUGGCGGACGGGUGAGGAAUACAUCGGAAUCUACCUUUUCGUGGGGGAUAACGUAGGGAACUUACGCUAAUACCGCAUACGCCCUUCGGGGGAAAGCCGGGGAUCGCAAGACCUGGCGCGGAUAGAUGAGCCGAUGUCGGAUUAGCUAGUUGGUGAGGUAAUGGCUCACCAAGGCGACGAUCCGUAGCUGGUCUGAGAGGAUGAUCAGCCACACUGGAACUGAGACACGGUCCAGACUCCGUACGGGAGCAGCAGGUGGGAAUAGUUAGGACAAGUGGGCACAAGCCUAGAUCCAGCCAGUACCGCGGUGGGUGAAGG
rnacentral:rRNA from 1 species